rnacentral:rRNA from 1 species
CGAGCGGGAAGAGCUCAAAUUUAUAAUCUGGCACCUUCGGUGUCCGAGUUGUAAUCUCUAGAAGUGUUUUCCGCGUUGGACCGCACACAAGUCUGUUGGAAUACAGCGGCACAGUGGUGAUACCCCCGUACACGGUGCGGACGCCCAGCGCUUUGUGAUACACUUUCAAUGAGUCGAGUUGUUUGGGAAUGCAGCUCAAAUUGGGUGGUAAAUUCCAUCUAAAGCUAAAUAUUGGCGAGAGACCGAUAGCGAACAAGUACCGUGAGGGAAAGAUGAAAAGCACUUUGGAAAGAGAGUUAACAGUACGUGAAAUUGUUGGAAGGGAAACGCUUGAAGUCAGACUUGCUUGCCGGAGCUUGCUUCGGUUUGCAGGCCAGCAUCAGUUUUCCGGGGUGGAUAAUGGUGGUUUGAAGGUAGCAGCCUCGGCUGUGUUAUAGCUUUCCACUGGAUACAUCCUGGGGGACUGAGGAACGCAGCGUGCUUUUUGCGAAGGUUUCGACCUUUUCACGCUUAGGAUGCUGGUGUAAUGACUUUAAACGACCC